UAAGGAAUAUUGCUCAAUGGGAGAAAUCCUGAAGCAGCAACGCCGCGUGGAGGAUGAAGGGUCUAUGACUUGUAAACUCCUGUAAAGAAGGAAAAAAUUCCCAUUUGAUGGGAGAUGAUGGUACUUCUGGAGUAAGCCCCGGCUAACUACGUGCCAGCAGCCGCGGUAAUACGUAGGGGGCAAGCGUUGUCCGGAUUUACUGGGUGUAAAGGGUGCUCAGGCGGAUUUGUAAGUCAGAGGUGAAAUCUUACAGCUUAACUGUGAAACUGCCUUUGAUACUGCAAGCCUAGAGUAUGGAAGAGAGUGAUGGAAUAUCUGAUGUAGCAGUGAAAUGCGUAGAUAUCAGAUAGAACACCAAUGGCGAAGGCAGUCACUUGGUCCAUUACUGACGCUAAAGCACGAAAGCGUGGGUAGCAAACA
rnacentral:rRNA from 1 species